UCUCCGUUGGUGAACCAGCGGAGGGAUCAUUACUGAGUUACCGCUCUACAACCCUUUGUGAACAUACCUAACUGUUGCUUCGGCGGGCAGAGGUCCCUCGCGGAUCUCUCCCGGCAACGCCCCCACGGGCGGAGCGCCCGCCGGAGGAUACCAAACUCUAUUUUAACGACGUUUCUUCUGAGUGGCACAAGCAAAUAAUUAAAACUUUUAACAACGGAUCUCUUGGUUCUG
rnacentral:misc_RNA from 1 species